CCAGUCUACAUCUCUGAACACCGGUGACUUGUGCUUAUACAGGAGUAGAGAGAAAAAUUAAUGAAGAUGAUUUUAAUCAACAUAUUUUUCCUAUCAACGAUUCUUGCAGCUUCGUCUGCACUGGACUGCGUCGAGUGUUUUGGUAAUGGCACAAAAUGUAAUGAACAAGGUAAGAGCAGAAAAUGUGGACCUG
rnacentral:lncRNA from 1 species